rnacentral:rRNA from 1 species
GUCCAGACUCCUACGGGAGGCAGCAGUGGGGAAUAUUGCACAAUGGGGGAAACCCUGAUGCAGCGACGCCGCGUGAGCGAAGAAGUAUUUCGGUAUGUAAAGCUCUAUCAGCAGGAACGAGACAAGACGGUACCUGACUAAGAAGCCCCGGCUAACUACGUGCCAGCAGCCGCGGUAAUACGUAGGGGGCAAGCGUUAUCCGGAAUCACUGGGUGUAAAGGGAGCGUAGACGGCUGUGCAAGCCUGAAGUGAAAGGCGGGGGCCCAACCCCUGGACUGCUUUGGGAACUGUACGGCUGGAGUGCAGGAGAGGUAAGUGGAAUUCCUAGUGUAGCGGUGAAAUGCGUAGAUAUUAGGAGGAACACCAGUGGCGAAGGCGGCUUACUGGACUGUAACUGACGUUGAGGCUCGAAAGCGUGGGGAGCAAACAGGAUUAGAUACCCUGGUA